CGGGUGCGGCGAGACUCACGGCCUUCAGCUGCUCCAGCCGGUCCUUCAUCCUGGUGCCCAGGCGCCCGGAGACAGCCAUUCACUACCUGUGCCGGGCUCUGUGCUAGGAUCCAGCCCUCAACAGACUGAUUCAUUGCUAGGCGGCGCCAACAUCCCGUAAACGAGGAACUCUAAGACAAAGUGAUUUGUGCUAUAACAGGUGGGGGAACUCUAAGACAAAGUGAUUUGUGCUAUAACAGGUGGGGGAACUCUAAGACAAAGUGAUUUGUGCUAUAACAGGUGGGGGAGAGAGAGCAAUUAAUUCUGCCUGGAGGAAGGGUAUUCCAAGUAAAGGAAUGCGCACGGUCCGGCGGACUGCGUGCUGGAGCUGAAAGAGUGUGCUCCUCGUGGAAAUAACUGGAGGUGAGGCGGGGUGGGGAAGGCCGGGACGAAGAAUUUGGAUUUUAUGAUGUUGGCAAUGGGGAUCCUUAAGAGAAAUGCAAGCAGUUCAGUGAUGAAGUCAGAACACCUGCCGCUAACAAAGUGUAUACCUUUGGAAAGUUAUUGUUUCUCUAGGCGACUCCGUUUCUGUAUCUGUAAAUCAGAGAUAUUACCCACUUCCCAGUUUGCUGUGAGGCCUUGUUGACAGAGGAGGAAUGACUGAUUCGUCACCUGUGGAGCAGAGCUGUAAGAGAAGGAUGUGUGUAUUGGAAAGCUUAAGCUUUCCGACCUGAUCCCCUAGCGCUUGCUCCGUGCUGACUUCAUCGCCUCCCAUGAAGAUAUGGUCUGUAAUCCUCGCUGUAGUCCUGCACACUUCCUUCUACCCCAGGCGUUCGCUAGGUGAAUUAAUUUCCAAUCUUUGGUAAAGGGAAGGCUCCUGCGCCCCCUGGUGGUCAGAAAUGGAAACGAAAUUUAAUCUGUCCUUCACAAGACGGGCUCUCCAUGAAGGGACAGUAGCUAUGGAGCCACGGAACAAUUGCUGACACAUAGCCAGGAGGACUGAGUUCUAGACACAGUUUCUGCCACAAAACAGCUGUCACUUGACAUCGCACAAUCUAUUUUCUCAUCUGUGAGCAUAAAGAGCGCUCUUAACUGCACGUGGAGCCCAGGAACCCAGGAAGGGAAGCAUCAGCAGAGUUCUCUUCUUAUGACGUUCUAUUCGAAGGGAGUUGUCACAGACUUCCAGCCUUUUUUUAAAAAACUCCUAUUAGGACUCCAGGUGAGUUUCGCUGGGUGCCUCUGCCUCAGGACUGCAGUUAAGGUGUUGGCCAGAGGCUGCAUCUCAUCUCCUGGCUUGACUGGGAAAGGAUCUGCUUCCAAAGUCACUCACAUGGUUGCCAGCAGGAUUCAGUUCUUCAGGGGCUGUACUUCACCCCGUGGGCCUCUUCAUAGCGCAGCUCACAACAUGGCAGCUGAAUUCCAUCAGCCCAAGCAGGUGAGAGGGAUAGAGAAAGAGAGAGAAAAGCCAAAGUGUUUUUGUAACCUAAUCUCGCCUGUGACAUCACUUUUGCCGUACUGUAUCGAUUAAAAGAGAAGUGCUAGGUUCAGCCCCCACUCAAGGCCAGGAGAUAACACAAGGGGAUGGAGACCGAGAGCCAUCUCAGCAGCUGCCUAGAACACAAUUCAAAUCCCAGAUUCAUGCCAGAGUUACGCUCUUUCACCUACUUAGAGCUCUCUUCUCCCCUGUAUCUGAACUGGACAACCCUCACCCAUUCUAGGAUUAAGUGUCCCUCAGACAUGCUUCCCUGACAGCCUGGACUUCAUUAUAGCCCUACCACACUGUGUAACCCGGUCUACCUCCUGUACCUUCCGUGAGCUCCGCGAGGUCAGCAGCCUGGUCUCUCCUUUUCACUAAUGCGAACCCAGACCCCAGCCUCGGCCCCAAAACGUCGCUGUAGACACUCAGUUAGGGUUUACCAAAUUAAUUAAAUGAAUCUUCUUGUCCUAGGGCUCCAUUAUGUCUUUCUUCUGAUUAAAAUUCAUCAGUGGCUCCUUAUUACAAGAUUAGGGAGUCCAGACUCUUCUUAGAAUGUCAUUCAAGCCCUUGCACAGUCUGGCCCCAGCCCCAGGUUCUGUCACUCCCUGACACACACAGCCCCACCUUCAGCCUCCUCAAACACUCUCCUCUUCUCUGCAUCUAAUAUGCCCAGGAUUUCCCACCCAGCUCUGCCUGAUUUGUCCUUUUUCCGUUUCAUAUCUGACAAAUCCCUACUCCUCCUUCAAGACCGAGGCCUUCUCCAAUUCACUCAGGUGGUCUCCUUGGCCCUCUGCCCUCCCGCCCCAAACAGUACUUGUUCAGAUCUAUUUUAAAAGCAAACCCUGGGUUGUCUUAUACCUCGUUGCUUACAUACCUGUUGAGAGCGACGACCAGGUAUUAUAUUAUUCACCUUCCAGGGGUACUGUGAGGUAGGUGCACUGCAAUUAUUUGGAGGAUAAAUCAAAGAAUAGUUGACUACUAUUCUUAUGUAGUGUGUGACUACACACACACACACAUACACACACACACACACUCACACACACACUCCCUAGGGAUUCUCCUCUCCUCUGCCUAGGGAGGAAAGAAGAUCCUUCCUGGAUCUUAAAGCUAAAUGCAAUUGCAACUCCCUGUGUCACUGAAUGGUGUGUUUAAAGUAAUGUAUUCUAAAGACAUAGAGGACAGACUUGUGG